GGGAGAGGGAACCGAGGACAUCACUUUGCUCAGUGGAUGUUUUUGUUGGGGAAUGAGUGCGUGUGUUUGCAGUGUAAACGUUUUUCAUGGAAAGAGUACGAUAGCGAGAAAUGCCAUUGAAUGUUUUAUUGGGAAUCUAUAUAUAUAUACCAAGAUAAGUCAUGUUAGUGCACCCUUUGCAUUAAGAACUUGUACAACAUGAUGAGUUCUGGUUAAACAAGACGCGACUUUGUAGUCAGCUAAGGACUUUCAUUGCCCCUCCAGGGUUCGACUCAUGCCACCACGUUCACAUCCUUGCUUGCAAGUGCUUAGAGCUUUGGGCCAAGUAACCGAAAGGUUGCAAGAUCAGCUGACAAG
rnacentral:lncRNA from 1 species